GACGAACGCUGGCGGCGUGCUUAACACAUGCAAGUCGAACGGAAAGACCCUGCUUUUGUGGGGUGCUCGAGUGGCGAACGGGUGAGUAACACGUGAGUAACCUGCCCUUGACUUUGGGAUAACUUCAGGAAACUGGGGCUAAUACCGGAUAGGAGCUCCUGCUGCAUGGUGGGGGGUGGAAAGUUUCGGCGGUUGGGGAUGGACUCGCGGCUUAUCAGCUUGUUGGUGGGGUAGUGGCUUACCAAGGCUUUGACGGGUAGCCGGCCUGAGAGGGUGACCGGCCACAUUGGGACUGAGAUACGGCCCAGACUCCUACGGGAGGCAGCAGUGGGGAAUAUUGCACAAUGGGCGGAAGCCUGAUGCAGCAACGCCGCGUGCGGGAUGACGGCCUUCGGGUUGUAAACCGCUUUCGCCUGUGACGAAGCGUGAGUGACGGUAAUGGGUAAAGAAGCACCGGCUAACUACGUG
rnacentral:rRNA from 1 species